AACGAACGCUGGCGGCAUGCCUAACACAUGCAAGUCGAACGAGACCUUCGGGUCUAGUGGCGCACGGGUGCGUAACGCGUGGGAACCUGCCCUUAGGUUCGGAAUAACUCCCCGAAGGGGGUGCUAAUACCGGAUAAUGUCUUCGGACCAAAGAUUUAUCGCCUUUGGAUGGGCCCGCGUUGGAUUAGCUAGUUGGUAGGGUAAAAGCCUACCAAGGCGACGAUCCAUAGCUGGUCUGAGAGGAUGAUCAGCCACACUGGGACUGAGACAUGGCCCAGACUCCUACGGGAGGCAGCAGUGGGGAAUAUUGGACAAUGGGCGAAAGCCUGAUCCAGCAAUGCCGCGUGAGUGAUGAAGGCCUUAGGGUUGUAAAGCUCUUUUACCCGGGAUGAUAAUGACAGUACCGGGAGAAUAAGCUCCGGCUAACUCCGUG
rnacentral:rRNA from 1 species